rnacentral:rRNA from 1 species
AGAGUUUGAUCCUGGCUNNNANNNAANGCUGGCGGCAGGCCUAACACAUGCAAGUCGAACGCCCUAGCAAUAGGGAGUGGCAGACGGGUGAGUAACGCGUGGGAACCUUCCCUAUAGUACGGAAUAUACCAGGGAAACUUGGAGCAAUACCGUAUACGCCCGAAAGGGGAAAGAUUUAUCGCUAUAGGAUGGGCCCGCGUAGGAUUAGCUAGUUGGUGAGGUAAUGGCUCACCAAGGCGACGAUCCUUAGCUGGUCUGAGAGGAUGAUCAGCCACACUGGGACUGAGACACGGCCCAGACUCCUACGGGAGGCAGCAGUGGGGAAUAUUGGGCAAUGGGCGCAAGCCUGACCCAGCCAUGCCGCGUGAGUGACGAAGGCCUUAGGGUUGUAAAGCUCUUUUGGCGGGGACGAUAAUGACGGUACCCGCAGAAUAAGCCCCGGCUAACUUCGUGCCAGCAGCCGCGGUAAUAC